rnacentral:rRNA from 1 species
CGUACACUCCUACGGGAGGCAGCAGUGGGGAAUAUUGGACAAUGGGCGCAAGCCUGAUCCAGCCAUGCCGCGUGAGUGAUGAAGGCCCUAGGGUUGUAAAGCUCUUUCACCGGUGAAGAUAAUGACGGUAACCGGAGAAGAAGCCCCGGCUAACUUCGUGCCAGCAGCCGCGGUAAUACGAAGGGGGCUAGCGUUGUUCGGAUUUACUGGGCGUAAAGCGCACGUAGGCGGACUAUUAAGUCAGGGGUGAAAUCCCGGGGCUCAACCCCGGAACUGCCUUUGAUACUGGUAGUCUUGAGUUCGAGAGAGGUGAGUGGAAUUCCGAGUGUAGAGGUGAAAUUCGUAGAUAUUCGGAGGAACACCAGUGGCGAAGGCGGCUCACUGGCUCGAUACUGACGCUGAGGUGCGAAAGCGUGGGGAGCAAACAGGAUUAGAAACCCGAGUAGUCCC